GCGACUCUGGGAUCAUGACCUGAGCGGAAGGCAGACGCUUAACGACUGAGCCACCCAGGCGCCCCUGUGUUUUUAAUACAAACAUAUAACUUGUAACUUCUACAGGUGGUGAUAAAAAGUGAUGUUAGCUAUUUGUAUCAUUUAAGAUCCCAGUGUUCUGCUGCAUGUCAUAAAAACUUAACUGCAGUGACUUGACCAAAUAAGUUUGGGUUUUUUUUUCUUAUAUACAGGAAGUACACAGGGACGCCUUCAUCAGUCUUACACAAUUCACAGCGCUCACCAUUCAGUGCCCCCUUCUUUAGCCUGUAAGGUUGAUACUGGGCCAUCUAUCCUGCAACCUGGAGGAGGCUGAGAUCUGGGCCAUCUAUCCUGCAACUUGGAGGAGGCUGAGAUAAUAAGGCCAACAUCUGGACCUAAGAACUUAGACCCCAGUCAGAUACAGUGAAUUCAAGUGAACUCUGAAAACACUACCCCUCUCUUUAUACAAUUUGUUUACAUGGAUUAAUAAAUUUCCCUUGUUACUUAA